GCUUUAUUUUCCAAGGCAUAAUAACUUACAACAUUAACGACAAACACACACACUAGUGAUAUGCAGUUCGCAAAAGACUCUUGACUGACUUGAGUCAUGAUUCAUUUUUCUCAGUGACUUCUUAAUUUGAGUCAUUUGUUUGACCUGGAUCUAGUGACAACAUGCAGCAACAGCUUGCAAAAAUGAGUGGUAAACAAGUGGUAAUAUAACUUUGUGGAUAUUCAACUUUGAGGCAGGAUGAUGUGAAUUGAACUUGAGAACAAUACCAUGAAUACUGAUAGUGAGCUCAGUACAAAAAUGACAAUUUCCAAAAUAGUUUAUGAAUAGGAAAAAAUAAAAGUGUAACAGGUUAUAGUGUAUUACAUUGCAAUAAAUGUAUCCUUGUAUCCUUAAUGAAGUGAUCACCACCAAUGAGUGAUCACCACGAGGUAGCCAUGCAUUACAUUAAUGAACAUUUCAGACAGUGAGUGAUCACCACGAGGUAGCCAUGCAUUACAUUAAUGAACAUUUCAGGCAGUGAGUGAUCACCACGAGGUAGCCAUGCAUUACAUUAAUGAACAUUUCAGGCAGUGAGUGAUCACCACGAGGUAGCCAUGCAUUACAUUAAUGAACAUUUCAGGCAGUGAGUGAUCACCACUAGGUAGCCAUGCAUUACAUUAAUGAACAUUUCAGGCAGUGAGUGAUCACCACUAGGUAGCCAAGUGUUUCAAUAAACUAGCGUUGCUUUUGUAACCAUUUCCUUCAGCAAAUAUUCAAACCGUUUCGGAAAGAUAUACAGCCGGGGGCCAGAUACACACACACACACACACACACACACACACACACACAGCUAGUCCUCCUUGGCCUCUGCUUCAUAAAUUAUCUCAUGGAUGUGGAACUUGACGGCUGCUUCCUUGUAAUUGGUCAGCCUGUUCAUGGAUGGGCGUAAGCUUUUUAAAAAAGCUCUUCCUCAUCUAGAGGGGCCUGGAUAGGGCCCUGGGUGGAAGGUGUUGGUAGUGGACCCUCCGAUGCCUUCCUCGCUACUACCUACUACAAGGAGCUCUUUCUCGAAAAGAGUCA
ensembl:lncRNA